UACGUAGGUGGCAAGCGUUGUCCGGAUUUACUGGGCGUAAAGGAUGCGUAGGCGGACAUUUAAGUCAGAUGUGAAAUACCCGAGCUUAACUUGGGUGCUGCAUUUGAAACUGGGUGUCUAGAGUGCAGGAGAGGUAAGUGGAAUUCCUAGUGUAGCGGUGAAAUGCGUAGAGAUUAGGAAGAACACCAGUGGCGAAGGCGACUUACUGGACUGUAACUGACGCUGAGGCAUGAAAGCGUGGGGGAGCAAACAGG
rnacentral:rRNA from 1 species